GCAUAAUUGCUAAACAUCUUAUCAUAACUUAAAUAUUACACAGUACAAGGUUAGAAGGUUUAUCACGUGACAGAAUUCAACACAUUUCGCUACCCAAAAAAAGCCACUUAAUCUAAAUUAAAGGAGGUCAGAUUUAAAACACAGUAACCCACUUUAUUAAAUGCAUCAACUGCAAAAAACCGAUGACCAACGCAUAAACGUAAAUUCACACACUUAGGGUUAGCAACGAGAAUCAAUUUCAUAACCACCCGGUAAAGAUAGCUUAAUAAGCGUUUUUGCAUGAACAACAAAAAACGGCACCGGAAGCACAAUUAAUAACAAAUAGCACCAUCGUUAUUUGUCGCCGAUUUCGUUAUAGCCUGAAGAUAAACAUUUGCGACACAAACCAAAACAUUGCCUACUUAUUAUGAACUACUUAUUAAUAUUUUCAUAACAACUAUAGAUAAAUAAGCAAACAAAAAGCUUGAAAAAUGGAUAUAAAUAAAGCCAGUUUCAACCUGAACGGGAGAAGUCCGAGAUGAACCGCCAAAGUGCGUGUUAACCGUCAGGUUGGAAAUUAUAACCAACCAAAA